GACGAACGCUGGCGGCGUGCUUAACACAUGCAAGUCGAACGGAAAGGCCCUGCUUUUGUGGGGUGCUCGAGUGGCGAACGGGUGAGUAACACGUGAGUAACCUGCCCUUGACUUUGGGAUAACUUCAGGAAACUGGGGCUAAUACCGGAUAGGAGCUCCUGCUGCAUGGUGGGGGUUGGAAAGUUUCGGCGGUUGUGGAUGGACUCGCGGCUUAUCAGCUUGUUGGUGGGGUAGUGGCUUACCAAGGCUUUGACGGGUAGCCGGCCUGAGAGGGUGACCGGCCACAUUGGGACUGCGAUACGGCCCAGUCUCCUACGGGAGGCAGCAGUGGGGAAUAUUGCACAAUGGGCGGAAGCCUGAUGCAGCAACGCCGCGUGCGGGAUGACGGCCUUCGGGUUGUAAACCGCUUUCGCCUGUGACGAAGCGUGAGUGACGGUAAUGGGUAAAGAAGCACCGGCUAACUACGUG
rnacentral:rRNA from 1 species